GAUGAACGCUGGCGGCGUGCCUAAUACAUGCAAGUCGAGCGAACAGACGAGGAGCUUGCUCCUCUGACGUUAGCGGCGGACGGGUGAGUAACACGUGGAUAACCUACCUAUAAGACUGGGAUAACUUCGGGAAACCGGAGCUAAUACCGGAUAAUAUAUUGAACCGCAUGGUUCAAUAGUGAAAGACGGUUUUGCUGUCACUUAUAGAUGGAUCCGCGCCGCAUUAGCUAGUUGGUAAGGUAACGGCUUACCAAGGCAACGAUGCGUAGCCGACCUGAGAGGGUGAUUGGCCACACUGGAACUGAGACACGGUCCAGACUCCUACGGGAGGCAGCAGUAGGGAAUCUUCCGAAAUGGGCGAGAGCCUGACGGAGCAACGCCGCGUGAGUGAUGAAGGUCUUCGGAUCGUAAAACUCUGUUAUUAGGGAAGAACAAAUGUGUAAGUAACUAUGCACGUCUUGACGGUACCUAAUCAGAAAGCCACGGCUAACUACGUG
rnacentral:rRNA from 1 species